AUAUCAAUAAGCGGAGGAAAAGAAACUAACAAGGAUUCCCCUAGUAGCGGCGAGUGAAGCGGGAAGAGCUCAAAUUUGUAAUCUGGCGUCUUUCAGGCGUCCGAGUUGUAAUCUAUAGAAGUGUUUUCCGUGCUGGACCAUGUCCAAGUCCCUUGGAACAGGGUAUCAAAGAGGGUGACAAUCCCGUACUUGACAUGACCACCAGUGCUCUGUGAUACACUCUCUACGAGUCGAGUUGUUUGGGAAUGCAGCUCAAAAUGGGUGGUAAAUUCCAUCUAAAGCUAAAUAUUGGCGAGAGACCGAUAGCGAACAAGUACCGUGAGGGAAAGAUGAAAAGCACUUUGGAAAGAGAGUUAAACAGUACGUGAAAUUGUUGAAAGGGAAACGAUUGAAGUCAGUCGUGUUCAUUGGACUCAGCCGGUUUUCGGUGUAUUUCCUUUGAACGGGUCAACAUCAGUUUUGUCCGGUGGAUAAAGGCAGGAAGAAAGUGGCUCCCUCGGGAGUGUUAUAGCUUUCUGUCACAUACACUGGAGGAGACUGAGGACUGCAGCUCGCCUUUUGGCCGGGGUCGCCCACGUCGAGCUAGGAUGUGACUG
rnacentral:rRNA from 1 species